GCGCUAAGUAUUUCAAUCCAGUUUUCUACCAUUACUACCUUGAAGAUAUGUCAAGGACAAGAAUUAACGUUGUUGAAUCCAAUGAAGAGUAUAUGAUGGAAGAACCAAUUGAACAUCAUAAUUUUGGUGAAAAAGAUCUCGAAUCAUUCGAUGUCCAUGAAAGAACUACUAAUGGUGAAGAAGGCUUCACCGAUUGUGAUGAUGCUGAUGCGGAUGAAAAUGAAGACGCUGAAAAUGCAGAAACAAAAGAGUGUAAGAAGAGGAAGCUGGAAUAUAUUUGGAACCUUCCAAAAGGGAAAAGGAUAAUGGUUCGCUGCAAUGACAUAGACCAGCCAAUUGGAAAAGAGGCUAAACACCUUGGGAACUUUCUUGGCUCAGUUGCAAGGAAU